UACGUAGGGUGCGAGCGUUAAUCGGAAUUACUGGGCGUAAAGGGCGCGUAGGCGGCACGGCAAGUCAGGAGUGAAAGCCCUGGGCUCAACCCGGGAACUGCUUUUGAAACUGCCGAGCUAGAGUGCGGAAGGGGCAACUGGAAUUCCCAGUGUAGCGGUGAAAUGCGUAGAUAUUGGGAAGAACACCUGAGGCGAAGGCGGGUUGCUGGGCCGACACUGACGCUGAGGCGCGAAAGCCAGGGGAGCGAACGGG
rnacentral:rRNA from 1 species